rnacentral:rRNA from 1 species
UACAGAGGUCUCAAGCGUUGUUCGGAUUCAUUGGGCGUAAAGGGUGCGUAGGCGGCGAGGUAAGUCAGAUGUGAAAAUCCCGGAGCUUAACUCCGGAACUGCAUUUGAUACUGCUUUGCUUGAGGACUGGAGAGGAGAUCGGAAUUCACGGUGUAGCAGUGAAAUGCGUAGAUAUCGUGAGGAAGGCCAGUGGCGAAGGCGGAUCUCUGGACAGUUCCUGACGCUGAGGCACGAAGGCCAGGGGAGCAAACAGG